rnacentral:rRNA from 1 species
GACGGAAGGUGCAAGCGUUGCUCGGAAUCACUGGGCGUAAAGGGUGCGUAGGCGGCUUCUUAAGUCUGGUGUGAAAGCCCAGGGCUCAGCUCUGGAAGUGCACUAGAAACUGGGGAGCUUGAGUACCGGAGGGGAGAGUGGAAUUCCUGGUGUAGCGGUGAAAUGCGUAGAUAUCAGGAGGAAUACCGGUGGCGAAAGCGACUCUCUGGACGGUUACUGACGCUGAGGCACGAAAGCCAGGGGAGCAAACGGG